AAUGGAGCUACAGUUAAUGAAUGGGAUUUGCAUACAGCUGAUAGGAGGGAACUAUUUUAUGGGCUGGAGAUCCAAGUUCGGGGCUAAAAAAGAUGUGAAGCAUGAAGAACAUCAGGAAAUAUUCAGAGGAUAAAGUUAUAACUUUCUUGAAAGAAUAAUGUAGGGGCACCCAGGUGAUUCAGUGGUGGUUAAGGAUCUAUCUUCUGCUCAGGUCAUAAUCCUGGGGUUCUGGGAUCCAG